rnacentral:rRNA from 1 species
GUGUCAGCCGCCGCGGUAAUACGGAGGGUGCAAGCGUUAUCCGGAUUUACUGGGUUUAAAGGGUGCGCAGGCGGAUAUGUAAGUCAGUGGUGAAAUCUUUGGGCUUAACCCGAAAAUUGCCAUUGAUACUAUAUAUCUUGAAUGCUGUGGAGGUAAGCGGAAUAUGUCAUGUAGCGGUGAAAUGCUUAGAGAUGACAUAGAACACCUAUUGCGAAGGCAGCUUACUACGCAGAUAUUGACGCUCAUGCACGAAAGCGUGGGGAUCAAACAGGAUUAGAUACCCUCGUAGUCC